AUGGAGUUCCACUACCGCGCCGGCGACGAGCGCUGUCCGUCGGCGGGGGCCGCUGCUACGUCGGCCAACUCCGAGACGGCAGCCACGCCCGUGCAUAAUGUUCUCGUCGCCGGCGAGGGGUACCACGGGGAGAACUCACCGCCGCCGGCGUCUGAUCCGGACGAGCAGCGGCGCCGGGCGGCGAAGGAGAGGAUCAGGGCGCGGAUCCUGCGGGAGGAGGCGGAGGCCAUGGCACUCGAGGCCGAGGUCCGCCGUGACCUCAUGGAGGAGCGCGCCAGGUUGCUCGUGGGGCUGGCCGGCGUGUCGGAACAUGGGGCGGUACCAUCACUGCAGACGGCAGCGCCGUACUUUCAUGAGGCCGGGUCGAAAGUAGACGUGUCUGCUGCAGUGCCAGGCAAGCGGAAAAACCCUGAUGUACAUGAUGCAUCUGCUGUUUUGGCGGCCACGGGAAGCAAGAAGCCGAAGUCAGGCCUGACUUGCACGGUGUGCAACAUCACGGCAACCAGCGAGGUUGCCCUGCAAGAGCACCUCCGAGGGAAGAGCCACGGGAAGAAGGCCGCUAAACAUACGCAGCCAUUGCCUGGAACAGGUCAACCAGAGGAGGAUGCGUUCAGGUUGAAGGUAAAUGGGUCGCCAGCCUUACCGGCCAAGGGGAAAAACCCUGGUGUUGCUGUCGCUUCGAUGACUCUCGCUGAAAAGGGGUGCAACAACUUGGGCUUGAAUUGCACGGUCUGCGGCAUCACAGCAAGCAGUCAGAAGACCAUGCAAGAUCACCUCAAAGGGAAAAUUCAUAUGAGGAAGACUGCCAUGCUCUCGCAGCCAUAUCCUAAGGAGAAUGGGGUCUGCUCAAAACCAAAUGCAUCAGCAGCCGUGCUACCGGCCAAGCGGAAGAACUCCGACGUUGUCCCAGCCGCAUCCACCCUUUCAGCCGGGCCAAGCAGCAAGAAUCAGAAGCGAGGCUUGACCUGCACGGCAACCAGCGAGAAGGGCAUGCAGGAUCACCUCAAAGGGAAGGCUCACAUGAAGAUGGCGGCCUCGCUUGCGCCUGGGGAUGCGGAGGAAGAGGCAGAGGUGGAAGGCGGCUACACGCCGAGGAAGUUCCAUAUGCUGACCGACUCCGGGACAUUGUGCGAGGUGGUGCAGCUGAACGGCUCCAUCCUCUGCGAGGUGUGCGACGUGCGGACCGCCGACAUUGUUACCAUGAUGUGCCACCUACAGGGGACCAAGCACGUCUCCAAGCAGGCCAAGCAGAAGCAGUGCGAAGCCGUGGAACCACCGGCUGCCGUUGCUGCUGAUGGCGAUGGGCCAGGAUCAGAAAUGGUGCCCAUGGAGGCCAAUGGCGUGGGCCGGGUGGACGGUGGCUCCCUGCUGUGCGAGCUCUGCAACGUGAAGGUGGCGUCGGAGUGCGACAUGCAGUCUCACCUGUCCGGCAGGAAGCACACCAACAAGGCGAAGUUGGCUGCAGUUGGUGUCAGUGCAUGUGGCAACGUGUCAGGCUCAGAAACUGUGCCCAUGGAGGCCAAUGGCGUGCGCCGACUGGACGGUGGUAUCCUGCUGUGCGAGCUCUGCGACGUCAAGGCCUCGUCGGAGUGCGUCAUGCAGACUCACCUGUCCGGCAGGAAGCACACCAACAAACAGAAGGCCACCGUUGACGCCGGUGCAGGACAGGGGGUGAAGAAGGCUGCCGCCACCGCCGCCACGAUUGGCAGCCCAUCCAAGGAAGCCGCCUCCAUCGUCGUCAAUGGCAGUGAUGACUCGGUGAAGAAACCAGCAGCGGGAGAGAUGGACGUAGCUGUGUCAUCGGCAGGACAGGGGGUGAAGAAGGCUGCCGCCGCCGCCGCCACGAUCNNNNNNNNNNNNNNNNNNNNNNNNNNCAUCGUCGUCAAUGGCAGUGAUGACUCGGUGAAGAAAUCAGCAGCGGGAGAGAUGGAGGUAGGUGUGUCAUCGGCAGGACAGGGGGUGAAGAAGGCUGCCGCCGCCACCACGAUCGGCAGCCCAUCCAAGGAAGCUGCCUCCAUCGUCGUCAAUGGCAGCGAUGACUCAGUGAAGAAACCAGCAGCGGGAGAGAUGGAGGUAGCUGUGUCAUCCGCAGGACAGGGGAUGAAGAAGGCCGCCGCCGCCGCCGACACGAUCGGCAGCUCAUCCAAGGAAGCCGCCAACAUCGUUGUCAAAGGCAGCGAUGAUUCCGUGAAGAAACCAGCAGCGGGAGAGAUGGAGGUGGUAGUGUCAUCGGCAACGCCUCAAGUGGAUGUCGCCGCCCCGGUCUGCGCCCAUGUCUCCUCCGUGGCCCCCAUGGAAGUAGAUGAAGGUGCAGGGGCCGGAGAUGGUGCUGCCAAAGCUGAAGAACAAGAGAAAGCUGAUGCCGAGGAAGAGGGAGCCGUGGAGAACGACGGGGGCCCCGCCGUGACCGGCGAGGAGUAUUACAUCAAGGUGGAGGGCAAGCUGUUCGUCACGCUGCGCCAGGCCGACGACAGCCUCUCGUGCGGCCUGUGUGGCGUGCACGGCUGCGACAAGCGCGGCAUGAUCAGUCACCUCUACACCAGGGACCACUGGCGGAGAGCCCGUCUCGCCGAGGAGAAGAAGCGGGCAUCGGAGGCAGCGCUAGAGGCAGUGAACAAAGACGGCGACAGGGAGCGGCUCAGGUCGACAACUGAGGGCAGCCGUGCGUGA
rnacentral:rRNA from 1 species